AGUUGGUUGUGCUAGUGGCUUGGACUGUGCAGCCAAGUGUAUGAGUUUACAGGAUUAGAGUAGCAGAGUAGAAGGAUCCAUGGAGACAACCACAAGUUUUUUAAGCAUGCCUGGGCAUGUUUGUGAAGCAGUGAGACAGGGCUGAGUAAAAUCAGUGUGCCCUGGGGGUUUGGAGUCAUCUAGGAAAGAAGUCAGGCCAUGCCCACUGCCGGGGUUCAGGCGUCUAUGGGCAUAUUAGUAAGCUGAUGAUUGGUGAAGGCUGAGGUACUUCCUGGGUGAAAGAUCACCCAAGGGCACAAGGAAUCUGGUUCUUUGAACUAGAGCCAGGAAGAAACCUUAGUUGUCAGAGGAGAGUAGCAAGUCUGAUUGGGGCAUGGUAGCAGCUUCUUCAGUCCUUUUCCUGGUCUAGUUCUCUGGAAGCAGGUGUUCCGUGGGAUAUAGAGAGCUGUCAGUAAAAGCUGAAAGGAUUUUUUACUAAGCUUUAUAAAAAACACUCAGAUUCCAGCAAGAAUGUUUUAUUUCCAACAUGAACAGGUGAGUCAUUCCCUUGUGCUUCAUUCCUGCCGGCCUUGGAAGAAGGUCUGGAGGAACUGCUGGGCUCAGUGAGCAGAGGCUGACUUGCCAGUGGAUUGGGAGCAUGUGGAGACACCUUCUGGAGACUCCCAAAAAUACAGGACUUGGUGUGCAGGGAUUGGGAGUUUGGUGAGGCGUCUGAGAGCAAGGCCCAGUGACAUUUGUGUUGGAGGUAAUAGAAUGUCCUCUUACUUAGACUAAGAGGAGAAAUAGGCUUUGCAUGUAUACCAUUAACCAGGUUAUCAUUUAUUAGAAGAACCUUAAUUUUGUUCUUUUAAAAUAAAAGCUCUUUGUAAAAGAAUACUUAACAUGACAUCUAGUCUCAUGACAACUUCUGAAGUGCACAAUACAGUAUUGUUCACUGUGAUUGCUACUUAGCCGUGGGAUCUCUAUCCAGUGCAUAGAUCAGGUAAUGACAUCAGGCAUUUAAGAAGGAUCAGCUUUAAUUUUGAGUCCUUUGGCAAGGAGGUGGGAGAUAAAUCUGCCUCCCUGAUUAAAAAUGGAAAUGAGGUUACCUAGAUUUUUGGGACUAGAGUUAAGAACAAAGGGGUUAAAUUUUAUUGGUGAAAAUUAAGUUAGAAACAAAUGAAUGUGGACUCGGCUGAAGUUCAAUGGCUAGUCACAGGGUACUUCAUACAUGAAGUAUGAAGAGAUGUUUCCUCAGAUAACAGGAGUUUUGCAUUUCUGUUGGUGUUCCCCUGCCUCUCCAUAGCCCCCACCCCCUCUGUAUUCUCAGGCUUCAGUGGCCUUGAUACUCAGUUCAAGGUUGUUUGCUUCUACUUGCUCAGACUGUGUCAGAUGAUGUGCAGGCUCUCUAAUCUGUAAAUAUAAGCCUCAAAGAACAAAGUUAGAUAAGUUUUUUUCUUUUGUGCUCAUAGGGUCAGAUAACAAUUUAACUGUCUAGACUCUGUUUCAUAGGCAAAAUGUACAACAGGUCUCUGGAACUUAGUCCUCUUGCUUAACUGACACUGUAUGCCUAUUGAUAAACAACUUCCCUUUGCUCCCCCACUGCUCCCCCAGUCCCAGGCACCCAUCAUUUUACUCUUGGUUCCUUGUGUUUAGCUCACCCAGCUUCACUGCAGCAUUAUUCACAAUAGCUGAGCUAUGGAAACAAUUGAAAUGUCCAUCGACGGAUGAAUGCAUAAACAAAAUAUGGUUUAUAUAUACCGUGGAAUAUUAUUCAACUUUAAAAAAGAAGUAGAUUCUGCAAUAUGAGACCACAUAGAUGAACCUUGAAGACAUCAUUAAUUGCUAAGUUAAACAAAAAAGCAGUCACAGAAAGGCAAGUACUGCAUGAUUCCACUUAUAUAAAGUACCUAAAAUAGUCACACAUGAACAUAAUGCAUUUUGAUCUAUCCCAGGAAAUGAGAAGAUUUAAUUCUCUUUACUUCCCAGAGGGAAAAUUAUUUCUGAUCCUGUUACAAUGUGAUCUUCUCCAUAAAAGGGGAAAUUCAAUGUUCCCUGUCCCACCUAAGGAAGGAUGGAGCUGAGCAGGGAGGAGAAGGUGAAGAAGACUUGGAAAAGGGCACAUGGAGAAGGAGACUUAGAGGAGGAGACACACGCAACAGACAUGUGAAGGAGGCAAUAUUGAACUUCAUCCUCAUCUCAGCAGAGCAAAGAAAUCUCAGAGUGCUGUGCUUUUCCCCGGCAUGCAGAACACAGACUGUACAUGACUGGCGUCUCUGAUAUGAGGAGGCAUUUCGGCACAUCUCAUUUCAUUUUGAGAACACUCCAACAAGGGAAACCAUUGUUUUCCUAAUUUGGUCAACUUGGAAAUAAUGGUUCAAUGAAACUAAAUAACUCAUCUGAAAGUACUUUUCUGGAGUAAAGUCUCUGAGACACAGAAUGAAUCCCAGAACACUGCAUAUUAAUAAGGCAUGAAGACAUUACUUAAUGUUCUCAGUGGUUACUCUAGCAGAUGGUUUCAAAGACUGGGACACAGCGACAAUGACUAUUCCAUGAAUUACUUUUAAAGGCAUUUGCCACCAGGCUGGUGGGUCU